rnacentral:rRNA from 1 species
UACGUAGGGUGCGAGCGUUGUCCGGAAUUAUUGGGCGUAAAGAGCUCGUAGGCGGUUUGUCGCGUCGACUGUGAAAACCCGAGGCUUAACCUCGGGCCUGCAGUCGAUACGGGCAGACUAGAGUUCGGUAGGGGAGACUGGAAUUCCUGGUGUAGCGGUGAAAUGCGCAGAUAUCAGGAGGAACACCGGUGGCGAAGGCGGGUCUCUGGGCAGAUACUGACGCUGAGGAGCGAAAGCGUGGGGAGCGAACAGG